UGAACGGCUCGUGGAUUAGGCGUGAACAAAGGCGGUUCGUGGAUUCGGAUCGUUGGCUCGUGGAUACGAGUGGCGUCGUGGAUUCGGCGUGAUUGAAGCUUCGUGGAUUCGAAGUGGAUGCAUUCGUGGAUUCGAACGUGAGGGCGUGGACAACCCGGAGGAUAGCGCGAAGAUUCAUAGGAGGUUAAGAGAGGUUGAGUCCGUGGAGUCGGUAAUCACCUUGUAAUCUUUUUUCUUAGUGAAUUAUUUUUUCGCAUGUUGGUCCCGUGGGUUUUUCUCCAAGUUUGAGUUUUCCCACGUAAAUCUCGUUGUGCUUUUUAUUUUCCGCAUUUAUUUUUAUUGCAUCGAGAUUUGUGGUUUUUGGCCGUUCACCUAUUCACCCCCCUCUAGGUGAUAGAUACAAUCUAGAUAGAUCCUUGGGCUCCUCAAAUCUUUCAUAACUCUUUCCACAUCUUUUGAAUUUAAGAAAUUUUCAUAACCGGAAAG
rnacentral:lncRNA from 1 species